GAUGAACGCUAGCUCCAGGCUUAACACAUGCAAGUCGAGGGGAAGCAUGAACUUAGCUUGCUAAGUUUGAUGGCGACCGGCGCACGGGUGAGUAACACGUAUCCAACCUGCCGAUGACUCGGGGAUAGCCUUUCGAAAGAAAGAUUAAUACCCGAUGGCAUAGUUCUUCUGCAUGGUAGAACUAUUAAAGAAUUUCGGUCAUCGAUGGGGAUGCGUUCCAUUAGGUUGUUGGUGGGGUUACGGCCCACCAAGCCUUCGAUGGAUAGGGGUUCUGAGGGUAAGGUCCCCCACAUUGGAACUGAGACACGGGCCAAUCACCUACGGGAGGCAGCAGUGAGGAAUAUUGGGGAAGGGACGAGAGUCUGAACCAGCCAAGUAGCGUGAAGGAGGACUGCCCUAUGGGUUGUAAACUUCUUUUAUACAGGAAUAAAGUGAGGCACGUGUGCCUUUUUGUAGGUACCGUAUGAAUAAGGAUCGGCUAACUCCGUG
rnacentral:rRNA from 1 species